UGGGGGAUAUUGCACAAUGGGCGAAAGCCUGAUGCAGCGACGCCGCGUGGGGGAUGAAGGCCUUCGGGUUGUAAACUUCUUUUGCUCUGAACAAGGCAUGCUUUUGGGGUGUGUUGAGUGUAGGGGUUGAUUAGCGCCGGCUAACUACGUGCCAGCAGCCGCGGUAAUACGUAGGGCGCGAGCGUUGUCCGGAAUUAUUGGGCGUAAAGGGCUUGUAGGUGGCUGGUUGCGUCUGUCGUGAAAGCUCAUGGCUUAACUGUGGGUUUGCGGUGGGUACGGGCUGGCUGGAGUGCAGUAGGGGAGGCUGGAAUUCCUGGUGUAGCGGUGGAAUGCGCAGAUAUCAGGAGGAAUACCGGUGGCGAAGGCGGGUCUCUGGGCUGUUACUGACGCUGAGGAGCGAAAGCGUGGGGAGCGAACAGG
rnacentral:rRNA from 1 species